rnacentral:rRNA from 1 species
UAAAGUGGCGAACGGCUGAGUAACACGUGGGCAACCUGCCCUUUGCACUGGGAUAGCCUCGGGAAACCGAGGUUAAUACCGGAUACUCCAUAUUUGUCGCAUGGCGAAUAUGGGAAAGCUCCGGCGGCAAAGGAUGGGCCCGCGGCCUGUUAGCUAGUUGGUGGGGUAGUGGCCUACCAAGGCAAUGAUGGGUAGCCGGGUUGAGAGACCGACCGGCCAGAUUGGGACUGAGACACGGCCCAGACUCCUACGGGAGGCAGCAGGC